UUCGGGUAGUGGAAAAGUGGCGCACGGGUGAGUAAUGCAUGGGAAUCUACCUUACACUGGGGGAUAACAAUUAGAAAUAGUUGCUAAUACCGCAUACGCCAUAUUGGGAAAGCCUUCGGGCGGUGUAAGAUGAGCCCAUGUUUGAUUAGCUAGUUGGUAAGGUAAAGGCUUACCAAGGCUACGAUCAAUAGCGGGUCUGAGAGGAUGAUCCGCCACACUGGUACUGAGACACGGACCAGACUCC
rnacentral:rRNA from 1 species